rnacentral:lncRNA from 1 species
AAAAAAAAGCACACCACAUCACUAGCAGACUAUCCAUUCUAUUUGCGUGUAUCUUAUCUUUACGGUCGAUCCUCUCCCACUAUUCCUUUUUUAUAUUAGAUAUAUUUCGAAUUCUAGAAUCGCAAGAUUUUCUAAACUUAUUCUGUUUUGAUUAUUCUAUUCUUAGUGAAUUUGCAUUCCUAAUCGUAUUAUGAUUUAGUCACUAUUAUAAAAUAUAUCCUUUAUUCCAUUGAUUUGGUGCGACAGAUGAGAGAGAGUACGUAUGAGUGUAUUUUUAGGAUUAGAAUUUUAUGAGAGAGACAUAUUUUGUAUACCACUUUGAUUAUAAUAAGGAUCUCUGCUCCAUCUUCGCCCGUGAACGUAGGCCGAUGGCCGAACCAUGUAAAUAUUAUGUGUUUCAUUUUUCUUCUCUCUUUCUCGGAUCUCUUUUGUUAUUUUCGCAUCCGACAAACUAGAUUUUUUUCGGUUUUUGUCGUAACAUCUUAAUUUUAUACUUCUCAAAAUUUUCU